rnacentral:lncRNA from 1 species
AGACCCCUGACUGCUGCAGCCAUGGUAUCUGGCCUUGCAAUGGGAGCUUCACCAGGGAACCUACCCUCCUGGGAGAAGCCCACACAUGCACCUGCCCACUAGACCUGCUGCUCCAGAAAGCACACUGCAGCCUAUUGACACUGCUUGUGCAACCCGGGACCUUUCAGUGCCCGAGGCUACAUCCUAGUAAUACCCCACUUCGCACCAAGCUGUGGCCGGAUAUCUUCACUUUUCAGAGAAAAACAUCAACAAGGUAUCAGGAGCUGAACUGCAUGCAGGAAUCUGUGCUGAAUGUCUUCCUAGUGUUGACCACAGGGUCAGACCUGUGCUGGGACUUUGGGGUGCUGCUGCACCUUCCCCAUGGUGGGGUAUGGAGCUGUGUCUAACAGGGCCAGCAGAGCCAGAGAGGUGAUGCUGAACCCCCACAGAUGUGAGGGGUGAAGCUGGGCUGAGCGGUCCUGGCACAGUGAGCAGAUCUAACUGAGGGGCUGUUUGUGGUGCAGCCCUAGGUGAGCAUUUUCCCAAAGCCCCAUCACGUCAGGAAAGAAGUGGAGCAAAUGUUGAGUGUUUUUGAGAUGAGAAAGCACCAGCAGAACCCUGGAUGUGCUGGGGGGUUAUCCUGGAGAGGAGAUAACUGAGGCAGGCAGGAGCACAGGUACACCAGAGACUGCUGGAAGGUGAGGGGGCUCUCUGCUCUCUCCAUAGAGCCCAGCAGAAAACUGAGAGGCUUCAGCUGCAGGAAGGAGGCUUCACAAUAGACCCAGGGAAGAUCUUCCUGUCUGGAGACAACUCUUCAGCUUUAAAAUAUGACAGUGCAAGGACAGCUGAUCUCCCUGAGGCUGGAGACCUGUCUUUGUUCAAGGUCUCUUCCCAUCCCAAGGGGAGGCCAAGUCCAGUCUACAGGCUUCUCCGGACCAAGAAGCUGUACAGUCUGUUGGAAAAGGAAGCACCCAUAGAACUGAGGCACGUAGGACCUUGCUGAGUUGCCAGUGUGGAGCAUCUAUCUGCAUUUUGCUGCUCCUCCUGGAGGUUUUACAGUUCAGGGCAGGAGAGCACCGAACACCGAACUGGGAGCGCUGGAGCACUGUGUGUCCUGUGGGACUUCCCUCCAGGGCAGAAUAAAUCGCUGUGUAGGUAGCUGCA